rnacentral:rRNA from 1 species
AACCAGCUCUUCAAGUGGUCGGGAUGAUUAUUGGGCCUAAAGUGUCCGUAGCCGGUUUAGUAAGUUCCUGGUAAAAUCAGGUAGCUUAACUAUCUGUAUGCUAGGAAUACUACUAUACUAGAGGGCGGGAGAGGUCUGAGGUACUAUAGGGGUAGGGGUGAAAUCUUAUAAUCCUUGUAGGACCACCAGUGGCGAAGGCGUCAGACUGGAACGUGCCUGACGGUGAGGGACGAAAGCCAGGGGAGCGAACCGGAUUAGAUACCCGGGUAGUCCUGGCCGUAAGCGAUGCAUACUAGGUGAUGGCCCGGCCAUGAGCCGUGUCAGUACCGUAGGGAAACCGUUAAGUGUGCCGCCUGGGAAGUACGGUCGCAAGGCUAAAACUUAAAGGAAUUGGCGGGGGAGCACCACAAGGGGUGAAGCCUGCGGUUC